UCCCAGGUGGCUCAGAUGGUAAAGUGUCUGCUUGCAAUGCAGGAGACCCAGGUUCGAUCCCUGGGCUGGGAA
rnacentral:tRNA from 1 species